GGGCCCGCACAAGCGGUGGAGCAUGUGGUUUAAUUCGAUGCAACGCGAAGAACCUUACCAUCCCUUGACAUCCAGUGAACUUUCUAGAGAUAGAUUGGUGCCUUCGGGAACACUGAGACAGGUGCUGCAUGGCUGUCGUCAGCUCGUGUUGUGAGAUGUUGGGUUAAGUCCCGCAACGAGCGCAACCCUUAUCCUUAGUUGCCAGCACGUAAUGGUGGGAACUCUGGGGAGACUGCCGGUGAUAAACCGGAGGAAGGUGGGGACGACGUCAAGUCAUCAUGGCCCUUACGGGAUGGGCUACACACGUGCUACAAUGGCGCGUACAAAGGGCAGCGAACCUGCGAAGGU
rnacentral:rRNA from 1 species